GAAUCUGUUUCGUCGUCGUUCAAAACUUCUCGAGUCUCUCACCGGACUCUUCCACUUCCACUUCAUCUUCUCCAAUCUUUGAUUUUCUCCCGUUACUUUUUCAAUCAAUGAGAUGUUAAAGCAAUUCUUCAUGUUUUUUUUCCAACCUCUCCUUCAUACUCUCUCAUAUAUAAACUCUAUCUCUAAACCUAAUUUUCAUUGCAAAUAAAAAAUAUACUCAGCAAUGAAAUCCACCACGAAGUCCCAUCUUACCACUGGAAAAUUUCCAGACGCCAUGUAUUUUAAAGACAUCUCAGAAGGAGCAUCUGAUUCAAAGCUUCGAUUCUGGCCUGGGUGAUCCAUUUUUGUAAGGCAAGAAGUUGGGGUCUUUAUCGGGUUAGAGCUCCAACUCAUCAGUGAACAGGGGUCCCCUGUGAUGCACGGUUUCAUAUCCUCUACUCGUGCUUCAACAUACCAGCCUCAUCUCAAAGCAGGUGCAAGGAGAUUUAUUGUGUUGCUAUCAGAUCUUAACAGUUUUUAGUCUCCAAAGGCUCGGUUCUCUCUCCCCUCCCCUAGACGACAUCUCCUUCUAUGUCUCUUUUCCGGCAAACAGGUUCAGGUUUCACACACAUGAGGAUUUCCAAGCUAACCGUGGUCAGGGGUUACAGUAAUUUAUCUGAUUUUUUAAAAUAUUCUCCAGCUCAAUUUGUCAUAUUUAUAUUAAGAUUUCUCUACUACUCUUCAUGAACAAUGUUGUAGAUGUCGUUGGCCACUUGAGGCUGGUGAAUGGACAGUCUCUCAUUGACCACCAUGUCCUUGACGAGGCCAAAAUGAUCAGCAAGCGUCAUAUUUUGUGGAGACCAGUUAUGAAGCUGUACCUUUGGGACCAGGCUGCAAAAGACUUUACAAGAAAUUCAGAUCCAAUGAAGAGUCACCCCCACCGUUUUUUGGUCACAACUGUGAACCCAAAAACUCUAGCAGUGUCACUAGCGUCUGUUUUAAUGCGUUAACCGAAAACACGUAAUUUAGUUCUCAGUUUGAUGCCAUCCUCAUUUGUCUUCAUAGACAAAGAUAACCAGUCCACGAUUGAUUACUUAAACUGGUUGAGUUCUAACCUAGAGAUUGCAAAGCGCGUUAAUACAAAUGAGAGACAAUGGCAAUUCGUCAAAUCUUUGCUUACAUCAAGCAAGAAUAUGCCAAGAUAAAGAAACUUCUUUUGACUACAUAGUCUUUUGACUGCAUAGCCACAAUCGAUGAUAUAGAGCGUGACAGUGCAUGGUACUAUAUUGCCGCAGCGGUUGAUGUGCGCCAAGUGUGGCAAUACUAAUGUUUCUGGUGUAGCGAAGUAUCUCGAAAAGAUCUCUCUGUCUACUGCAAUAAUGACCAGACUGUUUUCGUCCUACUUGUGAGGCAGGAAGUGAGUUGACAAGGAAGCAAGCGGCAUAAUUGGUUGACAACUACUAUGAGGUUACUGAAGAACGUGGUGCUGGCCAUUAGAUGCCUGCCCCCCAGUUUUAAUCGAUACCAUUGGGCAAACACAUAAGUUCAGGGUCAAGGUGUCUAACCUCAACUUCACAGGCAAGACUCAGGCUAAUAAUUGUUACUACUAUUGUCUCACAAGAGGUUCUGCCACAUGUGCCAACUCUAACUGAAAUCCCACUUGAUGCUGAAGUUACUUUGCCUUUUGUAACUGUCACUGAUGGCUCUGGAUUCAAUGCUGAUGAUGGGAAUGCAAGUACCUAUAGCAAAGAUGAAUCACAGUAGGCUAAGCGUCUGAAACAUGGCAAAUAGAUUAUUAUGCCACUUAUUUCGUACACGCUGAGUUGUCGUCUUCUUUAUUUUCAGUUUGAGAGAAGACUAUGUUUUACGGCUAUUUAAACUUGCUUUGGUUUAAUAUUUGCAAACAGUUUGCUUA